rnacentral:rRNA from 1 species
AACGCUAGCUACAGGCUUAACACAUGCAAGUCGCGGGGCAGCAUUUUCCUAGCUUGCUAGGGAAGAUGGCGACCGGCGCACGGGUGAGUAACGCGUAUCCAACCUUCCCAUGUCCACGGGAUAGCCCGUCGAAAGGCGGAUUAAUACCGUAUGAGGUCACAUGCGGGCAUCUAAUUGUGACGAAAGGUUUAGCGGACAUGGAUGGGGAUGCGUCCGAUUAGCUAGUUGGCGGGGUAACGGCCCACCAAGGCGACGAUCGGUAGGGGUUCUGAGAGGAAGGUCCCCCACAUUGGAACUGAGACACGGUCCAAACUCCUACGGGAGGCAGCAGUGAGGAAUAUUGGUCAAUGGACGCAAGUCUGAACCAGCCAAGUAGCGUGCAGGAUGACGGCCCUAUGGGUUGUAAACUGCUUUUAUGCGGGGAUAAAGUGUGGGACGUGUCCCAUAUUGCAGGUACCGCAUGAAUAAGGACCGGCUAAUUCCGUGCCAGCAGCCGCGGUAAUACGGAAGGUCCGGGCGUUAUCCGGAUUUAUUGGGUUUAAAGGGAGCGUAGGCCGGUCAUUAAGUCAGUUGUGAAAGUUUGCGGCUCAACCGUAAAAUUGCGGUUGAUACUGGUGACCUUGAGUGCGGCAGAGGCAGGCGGAAUUCGUGGUGUAGCGGUGAAAUGCUUAGAUAUCACGAAGAACUCCGAUUG